UACAGAGGGGGCAAGCGUUGUUCGGAAUUACUGGGCGUAAAGGGCGCGUAGGUGGCCUUCUAAGUUGAACGUGAAAUCCCUGGGCUCAACCCAGGAACUGCGUCCAAGACUGGGAGGCUUGAAUCCGGGAGAGGGAUGCGGAAUUCCUGGUGUAGCGGUGGAAUGCGCAGAUAUCAGGAGGAACACCGAUGGCGAAGGCAGGUCUCUGGGCCGCAACUGACGCUGAGGAGCGAAAGCAUGGGGAGCGAACAGG
rnacentral:rRNA from 1 species